UCUUGAACUGCUUUGAUUGCACGGAUUCUCUUAUCUCUAGCACAAGCCACUGCUUGCUGAACACAGCCUAAACUGCUUGGAUUUUGCACUUUCCACCGCCAAAAGGAAGCAUCAUCAACAGAUCUGAUUGGUUUUGGCCACUUUUUUCAUCACACAUGCACACACAUCUGAAGCUGCAGGAGGAGGUCCAGGAUUCAUGCAGAAAGUUUCUGGCGGACAGAGGAAUACUGAAUGCAGAAAUAUUUCUACAUCGAAGUGCCAGCCCAUCAAUGAAACUGGGGGAAAUCUUAAAGCUAAACAUCCACAAAAGAUGUUUACGGCGCAUGGAUACCCUGUGGAACAGCCGUUUAAACAAUGGUUGCCACUUGAAGACUCAAAAUAUAUAAAUAGUAAAAUGCGUAAAGCCUGUACAUUUCAAUGGUAAAGCCACAAGAGUGGCUUUUGAACCUGUCUCCCAAUGAAACCUGCCUGAAUCGUGAAUGACAGUGUCCUGGGUGGUGGGGACUUCUCCCAUGACACGCCAGACAAACAACCGGGGAUUUUUACAUGGGAACAUACGGAAUUCUGCGUCAUUCAAAUUCAUGGGUUGUAAGACACUUGUUUAGACACCUCUAGUAUGUACUGCCAUUCGAUGUUCAAAUGACUCUUCAGACAUACCAUAGUAUUGUAUCAUAUUCCGAUAUACACCUAAUUUUGUUUUUACAUGGUCUUUUUUUACACGGUUUUGAAAUAACACGGUUAGAAAAUCAAAAAUUUUAAAUUUGUACAGGGUUUUAUUCGAUUUAACACG